UAGAGCAUCACCUGGCAAACUGAUCCAGCACAGUUUAUCUAAUAACUUUCUAUCUCCAUUUCUAGAGAAAUCAUCAGUGAUAAGAAUUAUCAAGUUGAUUCUGGUGGUUGUGAUGCCAAUUGCUCUACUUCUGUUUUGUCUGAGGAAGAAGAAAACUCUGAGCUCCACUGCUGAACCAAAUGAACAGAUAGAGACUAUAGAGUUGAUGUCUGGUCCUGAUUGUACCAACGCCUCAGCCUUGAACCAAAACUGUAUGUGACUUUCUUCAGAUGGAAUCAAACCAGAGGGGACUCACCUGGAUCGGAACAAAGAAAAGCCACUGAAGUAGUCCAGUGUAGAACGAGGGAAGGUGGAGGAAGUGGAUACAUUUACCUUCAAGGAACGUUUUCAUUUUUAGUUUUUAUUAGCAGCAGCAUAUAUUUUUACCCGUGCAGGUACAUUACAUACGCUCAGUAUUUAACUCAGUAUGUAAAAUAUUAUUUAAAGUUUUAAUGUAAUAAAUAGUUUUUAAGAAAUACUGGUUGCCCUUUCACGUCACACCUGUCCUGGUAAUGAAAGCCAAUAAAGUCUGUUCAAAACAAACACAUUGAACAGGACAUAUCUCACAGCAUGUACUGUCUGUAUUUAAACACUGAAAUCAAACAGAAGCCCAGCUCUGUCACACUUUGCAAGUGUUUCAUUUUCAAAUUGUUGCAGCCAGCUUCCACAACAACUCUGCAGUUUGAUCAUCAUUUCAGUUUCCUCUCACUGCUGUAGAGGGUGACAGUGUGCAGGAAGUUUUAGAUUUCAGCUUUAAACAAACUGCUUGUGUUUAUUAUUCAGAACAAAGUUUGUAUUUAUCAGUAAUCAACAAAAAUACAAUUUCUCAAAUGUUUGUAGGGGUCAGGGUAAUUUCUUUGGUUUAAAAAACAGUUUCAAAAAUACACCUAUCAGCCGUAAUGUUAUGACCACUUACAGGUGAUGCGAAUAACACCGAUUAUCUCGUUACCAUGGCACCUGUCAGUGGGUGUGAUAUAUCAGGCAGCAGGUAAACACUGUGUCUCAUAGUUGAUGUGCUACAAGCAGGAAAAAUUGGCUGUGUAACGCCUCAUGUCUCUGAACAGUGCUGCUGAAAAUGACAUGAUGUGGACGAGUUUCUUAAGUGUUAAAUAU